rnacentral:rRNA from 1 species
GUUAUAUGGUCAAGCGAAUAAGCGCACACGGUGGAUGCCUUGGCGGUCAGAGGCGAUGAAGGACGUGGCAGCCUGCGAAAAGUAUCGGGGAGCUGGCAACAAGCUUUGAUCCGGUAAUGUCCGAAUGGGGAAACCCACCCGCUUGCGGGUAUCCUGCAGUGAAUACAUAGCUGCUGGAAGCGAACCUGGUGAACUGAAAUAUCUAAGUAACCAGAGGAAAAGAAAUCAACCGAGAUUCCGUAAGUAGCGACGAGCGAACGCGGACUAGCCCUUAAGCUGAUUUGGUUCUAGGAAAACGCUCUGGAAAGAGCGGCCAUAGAAGGUGAUAGCCCUGUAUCUGAAAGGGCCAUUUCAGUGAAGACGAGUAGGGCGGGGCACGUGAAACCCUGUCUGAACAUGGGGGGACCAUCCUCCAAGGCUAAAUACUACUGACCGACCGAUAGUGAACCAGUACCGUGAGGGAAAGGCGAAAAGAACCCCGGAGAGGGGAGUGAAAUAGAACCUGAAACCGUGUGCGUACAAGCAGUAGGAGCUCCGCAAGGAGUGACUGCGUACCUUUUGUAUAAUGGGUCAGCGACUUACUGUUCGUGGCAAGCUUAACCGUAUAGGGGAGGCGAAGGGAAACCGAGUCUGAUAAGGGCGCAUAGUCGCGGGCAGUAGACCCGAAACCGGGUGAUCUAGUCAUGCCCAGGGUGAAGGUGCGGUAACACGCACUGGAGGCCCGAACCCACUCCCGUUGCAAAGGUAGGGGAUGAGGUGUGAUUAGGAGUGAAAAGCUAAUCGAACCCGGAGAUAGCUGGUUCUCCUCGAAAGCUAUUUAGGUAGCGCCUCAUAUGUAUCCUCUCGGGGGUAGAGCACUGUUAUGGCUAGGGGGUCAUCGCGACUUACCAAACCAUUGCAAACUCCGAAUACCGAGACGGACUGUAUGGGAGACACACGGCGGGUGCUAACGUCCGUCGUGAAAAGGGAAACAACCCAGACCCACAGCUAAGGUCCCAAAUUUUGUGCUAAGUGGAAAACCAUGUGGAAAGGCACAGACAGCCAGGAGGUUGGCUUAGAAGCAGCCACCCUUUAAAGAAAGCGUAAUAGCUCACUGGUCGAGUCGGUCUGCGGGGAAGAUUUAACGGGGCUAAGCACAGAACCGAAGCUUGGGGUGCAUACUUUGUAUGCGCGGUAGAGGAGCGUUCCGUAAGCCGUUGAAGGUGGAUUGAGAAGUCUGCUGGAGGUAUCGGAAGUGCGAAUGCUGACAUGAGUAACGAUAAUGCGGGUGAAAAACCCGCACGCCGAAAGCCCAAGGUUUCCUUGCGCAACGUUAAUCGGCGCAGGGUGAGUCGGCCCCUAAGGCGAGGACGAAAGUCGUAGUCGAUGGGAAGCAGGUUAAUAUUCCUGCACCUCGCGUAAGUGCGAUGGAGGGACGGAGAAGGUUAGGUGUACCAGGCGUUGGUUGUCCUGGGGAAAGGCGGUAGGUUUGGAUCUUUGGCAAAUCCGGGAUCCUCUAAGACCGAGCACCGAGACGAGCCUUUAAGGCGAAGUCACUGAUACCACGCUUCCAGGAAAAGCUCCUAAGCUUCAGCUUACGCAGACCGUACCGUAAACCGACACAGGUGGGUAGGAUGAGAAUUCUCAGGCGCUUGAGAGAACUCGGGUGAAGGAACUAGGCAACAUGGCACCGUAACUUCGGGAGAAGGUGCACCCUUUUUGGUGGCUCGUGCGAGCUAUAGCUGAAGAGGGUCGCAGUAACCAGGCCGCUGCGACUGUUUAUCAAAAACACAGCACUCUGCAAACACGAAAGUGGACGUAUAGGGUGUGACGCCUGCCCGGUGCUGGAAGGUUAAUUGAUGGGGUCAGCCGCAAGGCGAAGCUCUUGAUCGAAGCCCCAGUAAACGGCGGCCGUAACUAUAACGGUCCUAAGGUAGCGAAAUUCCUUGUCGGGUAAGUUCCGACCUGCACGAAUGGCGUAACGACAGCGGCGCUGUCUCCACCCGAGACUCAGUGAAAUUGAAAUCGCUGUGAAGAUGCAGCGUUCCCGUGGCAAGACGGAAAGACCCCGUGAACCUUUACUAUAGCUUUACACUGAACGUUGAGUUCGUCUGUGUAGGAUAGGUGGGAGGCUAUGAAACCAUGGCGCUAGCUGUGGCGGAGCCAUCCUUGAAAUACCACCCUGUCGUGCUUGACGUUCUAACCUGGGCCCAUUAUCUGGGUCGGGGACCGUGUAUGGUGGGUAGUUUGACUGGGGCGGUCUCCUCCUAAAGAGUAACGGAGGAGCUCGAAGGUACGCUCAGCGCGGUCGGACAUCGCGCACUGUGUGCAAAGGCAUAAGCGUGCUUGACUGCAAGAUCGACGGAUCAAGCAGGUAGGAAACUAGGACUUAGUGAUCCGGUGGUUCUGUAUGGAAGGGCCAUCGCUCAACGGAUAAAAGGUACUCCGGGGAUAACAGGCUGAUACCGCCCAAGAGUUCAUAUCGACGGCGGUGUUUGGCACCUCGAUGUCGGCUCAUCACAUCCUGGGGCUGUAGUCGGUCCCAAGGGUAUGGCUGUUCGCCAUUUAAAGUGGUACGCGAGCUGGGUUCAGAACGUCGUGAGACAGUUCGGUCCCUAUCUGCCAUGGGCGUUGGAGAUUUGAGAGGGGCUGCUCCUAGUACGAGAGGACCGGAGUGGACGAACCUCUGGUGUUCCGGUUGUCACGCCAGUGGCAUUGCCGGGUAGCUAUGUUCGGAAGCGAUAACCGCUGAAAGCAUCUAAGCGGGAAGCGCGCCUCAAGAUGAGAUCUCCCGGGGCACAAGCCCCCUGAAGGAACCAUGUAGACUACGUGGUUGAUAGGUCAGGUGUGUAAGUACAGCAAUGUAUUGAGCUAACUGAUACUAAUGAUCCGUGCGGCUUGACCAUAUAACCU